CCCAAUUUAAGCAUAUUAUUAAGCGGAGGAAAAGAAAUCAAAUGAGAUUCCCCCAGUAACUGCGAGUGAAAAGGGAAAAGCCCAUCGCAAAGGCCCGUCCGCUCACGCUGAACGGGCGGUGCUGCGUAUGUAUGGCUAGGUGUUCUGUUCACGUACGGAGUCUGCAAGUCCCUCUGACUAGGGCUUUAAUCCAUAGCGGGUGCAAGACCCAUAGCAUGCCUCACGACGUUGAAACUAUCCUAACCAUAAUAGAGUCAGGUUGCUUGAGAGUGCAACCUAAAGCAGGUGGUAAACUCCAUCUAAGGCUAAAUAUGACUGUGAGACCGAUAGCAAACAAGUACCGUGAGGGAAAGUUGCAAAGAACUUUGAAGAGAGAGUUCAAAAGGACGUGAAACCGCUCGCCGGCAAACGGGUGGACCCACGAAAGUAGCCGCAUAGCGGGAUUCAACUUUGUCGUUGUCGGCGGCUGAGCGAUGCGAUGUCUUUAUCGAGUCCGUUGUUCGGUGUCUGUUGGCGAUGCGGAGUGCAUUUCCUUAUGCUUGCGAGCUGACGCCCUGACUGAUUGAAUGGCUGGCUUAGCCGUACGGGGAAGACGACGGAAGGUGACCAAUGCGAGACGCUUCGGUGUCUCCGUCGGUGUUAUAGCCGCUCACUUCUCGCGCUAACGUCGAGCGUAUCGCUCAGCUUAACUUCCCUGCGUGUCAGGGUUAUGAUGUAGACACGGACGGUGCCGUGCCGCAACGUGUUAAGUGAUUGGUACGUCGUUCUUUCGUUGUUCCGCAGCGGAAGGCGGCGAAACGAUUCGNNNNNNNNNNNNNNNNNNNNNNNNNNNCCAGGAGUCUAACAUGUGCGCGAGUCACUCGGUCUUGACCAGGCCAGAGGGGCGCAAUGAAAGUAAAUGCUUCGGCAAUCGUACGAUCCGGACAUGAACAACGAACAGUUGUCAUGCCGGCGCAGUAUGGGCCCGCUUGCUUCAUUUGUUAAUGAUUAAGCGGAGUUUGAGCGCAUACGUUGGUACCCGAAAGAUGGUGAACUAUGCUUGGGCAAGACGAAGCCAGAGGAAACUCUGGUGGAGGUCUGUAGCGAUUCUGACGUGCAAAUCGAUCGUCAGACCUGAGUAUAGGGGCGAAAGACUAAUCGAACCAUCUAGUAGCUGGUUUCCUCUGAAGUUUCCCUCAGGAUAGCAGGCACACGAACGGUUGCAGUUGCAUCCGGUAAAGCGAAUGAUUAGAGGCCUUGGGGACUAAAAGUCCUCAACCUAUUCUCAAACUUUAAAUGGGUGCGAUAUUUGACAUGUUUGAAUAAUAAUGCCAAUUAUAUGAAUGCAUGUGUGCCUAGUGGGCCAUUUUUGGUAAGCAGAACUGGCGCUGUGGGAUGAACCAAACGUCGGGUUAAAGCGCCCGAUACUGAACGCUCAUGAGAUCCCAUGAAAGGUGUUGGUUGCUAAAGACAGCAGGASGGUGGCCAUGGAAGUCGGAAUCCGCUAAGGAGUGUGUAACAACUCACCUGCCGAAGCAACUAGCCCUGAAAAUGGAUGGCGCUGUAGCGUUGAGCUCAUACCCGACCGUGACGAGAAUCUAGGGUUUGAACUCAGUCACGAGUAAGAGGAACGUGCCGGUGGCGUUGAAGGUGUCGGAUGUAGAUCCGCCUGGAGCCGCCGGUAGUGCAGAUCUUGGUGGUAGUAGCAAUUACUCAAGUGAGAUCCUUGAGGACCAAUGUGGAGAAGGGUUCCAUGUGAACAGCAGUUGAACAUGGGUCAGUCGGCCCUAAGGGACACGGCGAAAGCCGUUAAAAUGUGUCUCCUUUGAUCAUUAUAAUACGAUAUAAACGGACAAUUUCCCGAAAGGGAAUUGGGUUAAUAUUCCCAAACUUGAACACGGAGAUUGGUUCCUCGGAACCCAGUGCGGUAACGCAAACGAGCUGUGAGACGUCGGCACAAGUCCCGGGGAGAGUUGUCUUUUCUUUGUAAGGCGUCGAGUCCCUGAAAUCGGUUUGCCCGGAGAUAGGGAUGUUGACGCCGUAAAGCACCGCGGCUCUUGCGGUGUCCGGAGCGCUUGUGUCGGCCCUUGAAAAUCACAGUGAGACGGUGUGAAUCUCGUGUCAAGCCGUACCCAUAUCCGCAGCAGGUCUCCAAGGUGAACAGCCUCUGGUUGUUAGAAUAAUGUAGGUAAGGCAAGUCGGCAAAACGGAUCCGUAACUUUGGGACAAGGAUUGGCUCUGAGGAUUGAGUCGGUCGGGCUGAGGAACGAAGCGGGCUGUGCUCUGACCGGGACUGGGCGAGACGUGUGGCAACAUGCGGCCGAGCUCGGACCAGUGUCAGAGUGUUCCCGCGGAAAGCCUCAGCUACUUGCCGUCGUGACGUGCAUGUGUUCGGCUCUUCACGGGGUCGGGCCGUGUACGGCUGACGAACGAGUUUCGGCUGGCAAAAAACAAUCGAAUCAGAACUGGCACGGACCACGGGAAUCCGACUGUCUAAUUAAAACAAAGCAUUGCGAUGGCC
rnacentral:rRNA from 1 species